UGUUUUUCACUAAGAAAAAGAAAUUUUAAGACAAUAACACUACUCGUAUCUCUACUUAUUAUCAUAAUAUUUUUGUUUAACAUUUUGUUUAUUGUUUUGCUAAACUAACAAUCUCAACAUAAAUGUAAUAGUUUUUUGGAUUUGAGUUGUUGAUUUUCUUGUGUUUCUUCUGUGUUUGAAGUAUUUAUUUUAUUUUAUUUUUUGUCUCUGUUUUUUAAAACUUCUUUUUACAGAGUUGGAAUUGAUCUUCCCACCAUUGAAGUCCGGUUCGAGCAUUUAAAUGUCAACUCAGAAGCUUAUGUUGGCGGUAGAGCACUGCCAACAAUUCUCAACUUCUCCAUCAACAUUUUAGAGGGGUUCUUUCUUGAAUUAUCUCCAUAUUUUUCCAAGUAGGAAGAAACCAUUAGCAAUCCUUCAUAAUGUCAGUGGAAUCAUUAAGCCUGGCAGAAUGGCAUUGCUCUUAGGCCCACCAAGCUCUGGGAAGACCUCAUUGCUGCUAGCUUUGGCUGGAAAACUUGAUUCAGAUCUAAAAGUAAGACAACUAUGAGUUUAAAUCAUUUGAUACCAAGUGCUGGGGACUUGUUUUAUCUUGUGAUUUCAAAUGAAUCUUAUUAUGAGGCAUCUAUGAACACAUAAAAGAAACACAAUCAGUCACAGAAAACAAAUGAAUGGAUAUGAUUUUGAUAAGUGAGUCCUACCAAUAAAUCUUGCAGAAUCUUGUCCAUUCAUAUCUUUUUGUGUCAGGUUUUGUUUUUGGUUUCUUUAUUUUUUAGCUUUGUUGUAUUUUUACUAUACACUCAUCUCUAGUAGAUCAUGCUAUUUCAAUCGUGCCAAUGCCAUAUAUUAGCAUGUUAUAAUGUCAAAUAUAAUAUUUUGA